rnacentral:rRNA from 1 species
UACGUAGGGUGCGAGCGUUAAUCGGAAUUACUGGGCGUAAAGCGUGCGCAGGCGGUUUUGUAAGCCAGAUGUGAAAUCCCCGGGCUUAACCUGGGAAUGGCAUUUGGGACUGCAAGGCUAGAGUAUGGCAGAGGGGGGUGGAAUUCCACGUGUAGCAGUGAAAUGCGUAGAGAUGUGGAGGAACACCGAUGGCGAAGGCAGCCCCCUGGGCCAAUACUGACGCUCAUGCACGAAAGCGUGGGGAGCAAACAGG